ensembl:lncRNA
GCUAGAAGGAGCUCUCAGACCCAGGGGUUCUGCUCUGUGGUUGUUGUUAUCACAAGGCUGAUACAGCUGUUUAAAAAAAAAAAGAUGGCUGUACUGCGACACCAUGGCUGAGAAUAUUAAUUUAGGCUUAAAUAUCUCAUAUGUGUAACAAAUCACUUGAGCUGAUAAGAAUUCUUCAUUUCAUUCUCAGCUUGAAUCAGCUCCUUCAAUCUGUUCUGCUACACAAAAUAUGUAUUCAUGGCACCUUUAUUUUCUGAUUGCUCUGUAAUGAUAAAACUCUCUCGAAUGCAACCUCUGUAAUGCUCCGUGCAUUUCCUUAAUGACAAAUUAAAAUAUAUGCAAUGUCUGACAAUGUCUCUGGAUAAAUGGGAGUGUUGUGAUGGCCAGCCUCAUCUGGUGGCCUCUGCUCCAGCAGGACUCCGCCAUCCAGCACUUUGUACAGCUCUGACGCUUUUACUGCCUAAUUAUGAACUUGAGAUGUACUUAUACCUAUGAGUGAUACACUGUGUUUGUUGGUUUAUGGAGAUAUCAGAGGUGUUUUGCAGCAUGAACGUUAAAGGGAGGUGAGCACAGGAACAAAAUAGAUGGAAUGUUUUAAAACUGUCAUUACUGUGACUGUGCAAAGCUACUCCAGGGCACACAUAAGGCAGAAAAUAAUCGUCUUCAGUUUGGCUGCUCUGAAGUCUCAAAGUCUCGUGGCUUCCUUCGUGUUGGGAGCUGGGAGAGAAGGAGCGGGGCUGGCAGUGAGGUGGGCUCUGCUGUGACUCAGAACGGUGGCACUUCUGUUCUGCCCACUGGGUCGGUGUGGUGGAUCAGUUGGGUAAGCACUGGGGUCAAGUUUAAUCUUUAUUACUGAAAGAAUCUCGCUCAUAACUAGCUGAUAGGAUGUAGGGACAGCCCAAACGAAUAGGUUCCAUGGGUGCUUUCUGUCCUCUUGCUAUUGUCAGUGCAGACAGCAAUUCCCUCUUUCCCACUCUUCUCAAACACUUAGGUCUUUUCCAGCCUUCGUGAUUCUGUGAUAAGGGAGGAGCUGAGUGGAAUUGAGAUCAGACAGAAGAAGAAUGAAGCACUUGUCAGCCUGGCCUGGUGGGAAGUAGGGCUGAGUAUAAGCAUAUCAUUGGAGAUGCUUGUUGGAGUUUCCCCUGGUCCCUGGAGGGGCUUCCUCACCUCCCACAGCAGAUCAUCCUUAGCCCCUUUAGCAUCUUCUGGAGUGCAGGAGAGUGCUCAAUGGGCAGCAGCUGUGCAGCCC